CUUCCACUUUUCAAGCUCAGCACAGCCGAAGAUCCUGUGUAGCAUUUUGAACGUAGGUGCAAACUCACUCAGAGAAACAACUGAGAACCAGGAUGUUUCCCCAGUAUGGCCAGCUCAUCUUGAAACCUCAGUUAUGUUGUUUGUUUUUUCACCAUGCUGUGAUUCUGCUCCUUCUGAUAGAUAUUAAGACAGGUCAGUCUGAGACAGUAACACCAUCUCAAACAAUAAUCACAUUAGUUGGUGAGGAUGUCAUCUUACCAUGCCACCUAGAACCUCCAUCAGACGCUGUUUCUGAGAUUCUGGAGUGGGGGAGACCUGACUUGGAUCCCAGAUUUGUCCAUGUAUGGUACGAGGGCCAAAACCAUCUGGUUAAUCAAAACCCAUCUUACAAAGGAAGGACAUCACUGUCCACUGAGAAACUGAAGCAGGGAGACCUUUCACUGAAACUCUCUAGAGUCAAACACUCUGAUAAUGGCAGAUAUAGAUGCUUUUUUCCCUCAGAGCACAAAGAAUUUAUCAUUGAACUU